UUCUCAACGUUCGACCUCUAGCCUCGAAUUCCCAAAACAACAAUAUUUCUCUCAUAAGUUUCAAAACAACAAUAUUUCUCUAAUAAGUUUUGAAAACAAUAAUAUUAAUAUUAAAGGUCCGCUCAACAGAAGCAACACAGUAAUCACGGAUUUUAGAAUUUAAAUGUUUUAAAAAUUAUCCGUUAGUAGUUGAGUACGCGUGUUAAUAGUUAAAUACAUUUCUUUUUGUAUUUGACUCUCUAUUGUUUAUAUGUUUUAAUGAAUCUUUUGAUUUUGUAAUUUUAUGAGAUUUUAUAUUUGGGAUUUUUUUUUUUUUUUUGUUUUUAUUUUAGACCUUGAGAAAAUUGACGUAGGAAUCUGACAAAUAUGAGAAAAAUAAGACUAUUUAUAUGAAAAAAGAUGAUAUUUAUAAAAUUUGUUUUAAAAUGAGUUCUUUUCAAGAAAAUUUCAAAUAAAUCAAUCACCAUAUUAAAGGUAGGAACAUUUUUUUUUGUUGAAAUUUUAAGUUAUUUUUGCAAGUAUUAUUCUUUUUUAACUUUUUAAAUUCAAGGGUAAUUUUUAAAUUUUUAGAAGUUCGGGAAUAUUUUUUAUUUAGAACACUAACAACUUUCCUCCAUAAUGAUAAAGGUGUUUUUCAAUCAUUUUUAAAGUUUUAAGAGUAUUUUUAAAAUUUUUGAAAGUUCAACAAAAAAAAAAAAAAGUUAUUAGUGUUCUAUGUGUAUUUUUUUCAGCAUUUAGAACACUAACAACUCGGAUAUAAUUCAGCAUUUUUUUCUCCUUUUCCAUGUGUAUUUCAAUAACAUCACAUGUGGACCCUCAAAUUAAAAAGUUAAAAAGUAAGAAAGAUGUUAGAAAUUAGUUUAAAAAAAAGAGGUUACUUUUGAACACCCAAUAACUUUUUAGAUUAGAAAUAAAUAUUUUUCCGUGUUAAUGUUUUAUUAUUAAAAUUUAUUGUUAAUAUACGGUUGUUUUGAGGCUUAUUAUACAAAUUUAGGCCCGAACCAUGAAAAGACAAAAAUGAACAUGACCCAUUUUGAAAAGCUUCUUUCACGGUUUGGCCCACCGAGCUCUAUAAUCAGGGAAGACAAAUCACUUCCAACCCUUCAUCUUCCUUGAUUUCGCUCCAACAGUGUCAUUCUUCUUCCCCUUCGAUUUCACUCCAAACUUCAGAAGGAAAAUGUAUUAAUUGUUCCUGAAACUGAAUGGACAAACCUGUUGAAAGUCAACUCUUCAUAAGGCUGAAAUUGAAAUUGCUAAGGACAAGGAGGCCCAAGAAAAGGGUGUUCAAGAGAAUGACCAGCAAAAACAAUUGCAAGAUGAAUAGAAAGAUCCUGAAGAUGAAGAGAAAGAUCCCCAAGAUGAAGAGGAAGAUCAAGAAGAAAAAAUGAUAAAGAUAAAAAAGCGGAAGAGAAUGUAGAUAAAGAAGAUAUGACCAAAAAGAAUAUAAGUAUUGUUUGAUUGAUGUUUUUAAGUAUAAGAUAUUAGCAUGUUAUUAGUGAUAUCUGAAAUCAUUGAUAAUCAACUAUCAAUGAUAAUACACUAUUUCUGAUAGUUUGUUAUCAGUGAUAGUAUAAAUAAUAGGAAGCUUUAUUUACUUGACUGAUAUUGAUAGCACAUUGAUGGAUGUCAUGUUAUAUUUGAUUCCAUGAUUUUAGAUUAGUGAAAAGACAAGUCAAAAAAAGUAUAGACCAAAGGUUGUGUGGUCGAAAAUAUGGAGGACAACAAGAGACCAAAACAACCAAAAAAACCAACCAAGAAAAUUUAAAUAUUUGAUAUACAUUACUAUUUUGUUUAAUGUUUGAUAUUUUUAGGUUUGCGUUCUCCAAAAUUUGACCACAACCUGUGAUCUAUAUUUUUUUGGACUCUUUUUAAGAGUCUGAAAUCAUGGAAUCAAAUAUAACAUGACAUCUAUAAGUGUGCUAAGUCAAAAAGCUUCCUAUUAUUUAUACUAUUACCGAUAACAAACUAUCUGUGAUAGUGUGUUAUCACUGAUAGUUGGUUAUCAGUGAUUUCAGAUAUCACUGAUAGCAUGUUAAUCUUAUACCUAAAAAAAUUAAUCAAUCAAUAUUUACCUUCUCUUUGGUCAUAUCUUCUUUACCUACAUUCUCUUUCUAUUCUUUAUCUUUAUCCUUUUUUUCUUCUUAAUCUUCCCCUUCAUCUCCAGGAUCUUUUUUUUCAUCUUCAAGAUCUUUCUCUGCUGGUUAUUCUUUUGAAUAUCCUUUUCUUGGGCCUCCUUGUCCUUAAGGGUUUCAAUUUCAACUUCCAUGCAUAUAUCAUUUAUGUUAUUGUACUUCUUUAUAGAAAAAGAAAAUCACAAAUUUUACCUCUAGAACUUCCAAACUUGCAUCUAAAAGUUCCAAACUAGAUGAUGGCACUUUGUUCUUCUCAAGAGAUUCUUGAGAUUGCUUUUCACCACCUUCUUCUUUUUGUGGAAGUUUAUCACUGAUAGCUUCUUCAAUUCCUUCUUGUAAUGAUGAAAAAUUUAUGACAUUUGUUUUCCUUUUUUUUUCUUUUUCCUUUUCAAUAUCCAUCUCCCUUGUUUCCAGCUCUGCAAAAUAGCCAUAAUAGUUUGAUUGUAAUUCUUGUUCAAUUGGAACCAAUGAAGCAACGGUAAACUAAAAGUUUAAUAAAGAUGUUAGUGAUACAGCAUGUUUAUAGAAACAAUCACUGAUUUCAAGCUAUCACCGAUUGCUUCUAUCUACGAUAACAUGCUAUCAAUGAUAGAAGAUAUUGCUAUUGAUAUGUUGCCAAUCAUUAGGUUUUUUAGAUUCCCAAUGAGUAAGUCUAGGUCCAUUGCUUUUUAUUCUUCGUGCAAAUCCAAUAGUGGAGUUAGAUAAUCUUGGUAUAAUUUCAAAAGCCCAAUAUACCAAAGCAAGUGGGAAGAUGACUUAUUGAUGACAACCUUCUUAAAAAACUCUGUUAGUUCAAAGGAAACCAUGCCCCAUGGAUAAGAUCUAAAUUUUCUUCAUCAUCCAACAUUUUUAAAUGCUUCCAACUUAUUAUGUCCUUGUGUAGGAAUUAGGAAGCUUUCUAGAAAAUACAAGUGUACAAGUUUGACCUUUAUAUCAAUGGGUAUAUUGGCAUCAGAACCUAACAAUUUAAAAGUAGGUUAGAGCUCUCUCCUUAUAAUUUUAAUCUUUGUCUUGAAAAAGAAGUUACUAAUUGUGUUGUCCAUCGAUUCUUGUUCACUAUAGAUACCAACUACAGGGUAAUCAUCACAAUUUAAACCCGUUACUAAUUUUGAAAUAUGUCUUUCUAAAUUAAAGGUCAAGAUAUUUUGUUUUGUAGUUGUGGAUUGUCUUCUAAUUAGUUGUGAUAUGAGUUGGUUGGGCAUCAUUUUCAUUUUCAUAUCUAAGUGCCCAAAAGGAUAUUUCUUAAAUAGUUGGAGUGAUGACUUAUCUAAUUUUCCUAUGUUAGAUAGGACUUCUAAAGUUAUGAAGGAGCUGACUUUCAACGGGUUUGUCCAUUCACUUUCUGGAGCAAUGAAUACAUUUUUCUGUAUAUAUAAUAACAUAAAUAUAAGAGAAAAGAAACCACAAAUCUAUAUAAAUUUAUAAAAUAUCAUUAGAUUGUGGACCUUGAUCUUCAUACUAUUAGUGAUAGCAAUAAAAGUGUAUCACGGAUAACAAUAAUAGUGAUAGAUACUAUUGCUAUAAAUAAACAAUAAGCAAAUCAUAAUACAGGAAACGUAGAUAAAUCCAUCAACAAACUAUCAACAAACUGUCAACAUAUUCACUAAAACAUCAAUGAUAACUUCUAUCACUAAUAACUAACUAAAUUAGCAAAAUAUUCAUUGAAACAUCAGCAAAUCACAAUCAAACAUAGUACAAUAAACUUCACAUAAUUAGCAAUCAAAUACAAUCAACAACAAACUAUCAACAUAUUCACCGAAAAACAGCAAAUCACAAUCAGCAUAUCAACAAAUAAACUUCACAUAAUCAACUUUUUUUUAGAAAGAAAAGCUAUCACAGUGACCAAAAUGUAUAAUAAAACAGUGAACGAAAUACCUAAAAAAGAUGAAAAAUGCAUGUAGCCCUAAUUUGAAGGGAAUCAUUGAGUUAUCAAUAACUAUCAACAAAUAUCAACAAAAUAUUAGCAAAUAUCAUAUUAGGAAGAAUCGAAAUUAUCUGUCAAUGGAAGAAGUCCAAAGCCCUACGUUUUCAAAGUUUUGCUAUCAAUGAUGAAGAGAUGAAGAAACGAAGAAAUGAAGAAGAAGAAG